CUAGCCGUAAACGAUGGACACUAGGUGUCGGGGGUGUCGACUCCCUCGGUGCCGAAGCUAACGCAUUAAGUGUCCCGCCUGGGGAGUACGGCCGCAAGGCUAAAACUCAAAGGAAUUGACGGGGGCCCGCACAAGCAGUGGAGCAUGUGGUUUAAUUCGACGCAACGCGAAGAACCUUACCUGGGCUUGACAUGUACGUGGUAGGAAGCGGAAACGUGACCGACCCCUAGGGGAGCGUACACAGGUGG
rnacentral:rRNA from 1 species